GAUGAAAAACGCAGCGAAAUGCGAUAAGUAAUGCGAAUUGCAGAAUUCAGUGAGUCAUCGAAUCUUUGAACGCACAUUGCGCCCUGUGGUAUUCCGCAGGGCAUGCCUGUUCGAGCGUCAUUUCAACCCUCAAGCCUCGCUUGGUGUUGGGCCCUGCCCGCCGCGGUCGGCCCUAAAGAUAGUGGCGGCGCCGCCUGGCCCUCAGCGUAGUACAGCUCUCGCUCCAGGGUCCGGCGGCAGCCUGCCAGAACCCCCCAACUCUGUGGUUGACCUCGGAUCAGGUAGGGAUACCCGCUGAACUUAAGCAUAUCAAUAAGCGGAGGA
rnacentral:misc_RNA from 1 species